CAGCCGCCGCGGUAAUACGUAGGGUGCAAGCGUUAAUCGGAAUUACUGGGCGUAAAGCGUGCGCAGGCGGUUCGGAAAGAAAGAUGUGAAAUCCCAGAGCUUAACUUUGGAACUGCAUUUUUAACUACCGGGCUAGAGUGUGUCAGAGGGGGGUGGAAUUCCACGUGUAGCAGUGAAAUGCGUAGAUAUGUGGAGGAACACCGAUGGCGAAGGCAGCCCCCUGGGAUAACACUGACGCUCAUGCACGAAAGCGUGGGGAGCAAACAGGAUUAGAUACCCCCGUAGUCCCUGUCUCUUAUAU
rnacentral:rRNA from 1 species